rnacentral:rRNA from 1 species
UACGUAGGGGGCAAGCAUUGUCCGGAUUUAUUGGGCGUAAAGAGCGUGUAGGCGGCCAGGUAGGUCUGCUGUGAAAACUCGAGGCUCAACCUCGAGAUGUCGGCGGAAACCAUCUGGCUAGAGUCCGGAAGAGGAAAGUGGAAUUCCUGGUGUAGCGGUGGAAUGCGCAGAUAUCAGGAGGAACACCGAUGGCGAAGGCAGCUCGCUGGGACGGUACUGACGCUGAGGCGCGAAAGCGUGGGGAGCGAACAGG